CCUAGGAACGACAUCCCGGAACGUUUACAAUCUCCCUUGCCGUCGGGAGAACCGAUCUGAACGUUUACGCUCUCUCUCUCUCGAAAAAAAAUGACAGAAUGACCCUUGCAUAAAGAAAUUCGUUUGAUCUGCUUUGGAAAAUGAUGGAAAAUGGAUUGCAUUUGAAGAAGCAAACUGGAAACUUUGCUAGAACCGGAUUAAGUCAAAGUUGUCAAUCGUCUGCCGAAACUGUUGAAUAAAAAACGUCGCCCCUUACACUUGGCAUUUUCGCGAAAAGUUUUUAUCGUUGUAGAAUGUUAUACGUUAUUUGUCAAAACUUACGUCUAACCAUAGGUUUUGCUCACAUCGAACCUGCAGAAUUUUCAAGUACAGUCUAUAGCGGCUUCAUGAAUUCGUAACUAUCCGACGCGGGCGAAAGUCCGUCGCAGUGAAGAAAGCCGAUUAUAAACCGGCGAGCGAGAGAAAACUUGCCACACCAAAGAAUAAAAUUUCCGGAGCAAGGAGCUCCGGAUUAGCCAUUCCGUGGAUGAAGCGAUUUUUCACGGUCUUGGCAGGAUGAUGCGACGCCUAACACCUGGUACACGGAACAACCCAUCGAAACGCACCCUACGAUCAUCCAGAAUGUGAUUCGUGGAAAAUAGCGUUGAUCACGAGUGCUGAAAUUCUCACUGUUCCCUCACGCUGACACAAUGACGGGUCGUAAUAACAAAUCGAUUGUACGGAUGCCGAAGACACGCACCCGUCGCGGGAGGGUCGUUUCCCCAGGAAAAACUAGGGAAGGCGGUGCAUUGGAGCGUGGAGUGUAUUUGGGGUGUCGUGCCCCCUUCGCGCGCGGGAGUCGCGUGUGAGGACACCGCAGGGGGUAACAUCCAGCUCCCAGGAUAUACCGGAAACGGUUAGGCGGUACCGGAUACAGGAGGCGCAUUAUUAGACAGGUGGCUGGGACUCCAUAGAACACAGAAGCUUGAUGACUAGAGCAAGUUCGGCCUUGUCAAUGAAGUUGCUGUGGGAAUUGUUAAAUAUCCAUUGUCCCGAAAUGGUACUAAAACGUGAGGAUGAAUAAGAUAAGAUAUGCAUCCCCAAUAAUAUGAGAAUCAUUAAUAAAAUAUUCGUCAGGCUUUUUAAUAAAAUUUGAUACAGGUGAAUUCCUAAAAACUCUAGUAUCAUGCACAGAUCCAACGUGUCAAGCGUAACAAUGUGUGAAUAAACAAUUUAAAUCACAUACAGCUUGUAAAAUAAUAGAAUAAUCACUUUUCUUAUUAAUAUAUGACACUAAAUCUUCCUUAGAUGCACGUAUUCUAAUGUGGCUUCCAUCUAUUGCACCAAUAACAUGUGGAAAACUAAAUAUUUUCUCAAAAUUAUUCAUAACUUCAAUAGCAUAUUGAUGUGUAGGCCAUUUAAUGAUUCGAGAUGCAAGGCAAUGCAGAGCAUAAGUAACGCGUCUUACAGCUCUAAAAACUGUAGCUUUUCCAACGCCAAACUUUUCGCAAACAGAUCUUAAACAAAACAAAAUAAUAUUCUAAAUAUUUUAUCAUUAUCACUAUUAUUACAGAUAAUAAUGAUGUUUAUCAUGGUAUCAAUACAUACCUAUAGAAAUCUGGUGUUGACAUGUAUCAUAAUGCAAUAAGAAGUUGUGUUUUUGCAUCAAUAAGUUUUCUACCACUUGCUCUAUUAGUUGCUGUCAAUGUAAAACUAAUAAGCGACAAAACGCUUUCAAAAGAUUCUGGAAACAUU
rnacentral:lncRNA from 1 species